AGAUUGAACGCUGGCGGCAGGCCUAACACAUGCAAGUCGAGCGGCAGCACGGGUACUUGUACCUGGUGGCGAGCGGCGGACGGGUGAGUAAUGCCUAGGAAUCUGCCUGGUAGUGGGGGAUAACGCUCGGAAACGGACGCUAAUACCGCAUACGUCCUACGGGAGAAAGCAGGGGACCUUCGGGCCUUGCGCUAUCAGAUGAGCCUAGGUCGGAUUAGCUAGUUGGUGAGGUAAUGGCUCACCAAGGCGACGAUCCGUAACUGGUCUGAGAGGAUGAUCAGUCACACUGGAACUGAGACACGGUCCAGACUCCGUACGGGAGGCAGCAGUGGGGAAUAUUGGACAAGUGGGACGAAAGCC
rnacentral:rRNA from 1 species